rnacentral:piRNA from 1 species
UUACUAAGGAACCAUUUGUGGAGACAUGC